rnacentral:rRNA from 1 species
GACGAACGCUGGCGGCGUGCUUAACACAUGCAAGUCGAACGGAAGGGCCCUGCUUUUGUGGGGUGCUCGAGUGGCGAACGGGUGAGUAACACGUGAGUAACCUGCCCUUGACUUUGGGAUAACUUCAGGAAACUGGGGCUAAUACCGGAUAGGAGCUCCUGCUGCAUGGUGGGGGUUGGAAAGUUUCGGCGGUUGGGGAUGGACUCGCGGCUUAUCAGCUUGUUGGUGGGGUAGUGGCUUACCAAGGCUUUGACGGGUAGCCGGCCUGAGAGGGUGACCGGCCACAUUGGGACUGAGAUACGGCCCAGACUCCUACGGGAGGCAGCAGUGGGGAAUAUUGCACAAUGGGCGGAAGCCUGAUGCAGCAACGCCGCGUGCGGGAUGACGGCCUUCGGGUUGUAAACCGCUUUCGCCUGUAACGAAGCGUGAGUGACGGUAAUGGGUAAAGAAGCACCGGCUAACUACGUG